AGCAGCCGCGGUAAUUCCAGCUCCAAUAGCGUAUAUUAAAGUUGUUGCAGUUAAAAAGCUCGUAGUUGAAUUUCGGGGUCAGUAGGUCGGUCGUGCCACUGGUAUGAACUGGUUUUACUGAUUCCUCCCUCUUGAAGAACUGUAAUGCCAUUAAUUUGGUGUUGCAGGGAAUCAGGACUGUUACUUUGAAAAAUUAGAGUGUUUAAAGCAGGCUUUAGCUUGAAUACAUUAGCAUGGAAUAAUGAAAUAGGACGUUUGAUCCUAUUUUGUUGGUUUCUAGGAUUGACGUAAUGAUUAAUAGGGAUAGUUGGGGGCAUUAGUAUUCAAUUGUCAGAGGUGAAAUUCUUGGAUUUAUUGAAGACUAACUACUGCGAAAGCAUUUGCCAAGGAUGUUUUCAUUAAUCAAGAACGAAAGUUAGGGGAUCGAAGACGAUCAGAUACCGUCGUAGUCUUAACCAUAAAC
rnacentral:rRNA from 1 species